UCCGUAGGCGGGCUAAUAAGUCAGUGGUGAAAUCUCUCGGCUCAACCGGGAAACUGCCAUUGAUACUGUUAGUCUUGAGUUCGGUUGAGGUAGGCGGAAUGUGUAAUGUAGCGGUGAAAUGCUUAGAUAUUACACAGAACACCAAUUGCGUAGGCAGCUUACUAGACCGACACUGACGCUGAGGCACGAAAGCGUGGGGAGCGAACAGGAUUAGAUACCCUGGUAGUCC
rnacentral:rRNA from 1 species